GACGAACCGUGCGAACGUUGUUCGGAAUCACUGGGCUUAAAGGGCGCGUAGGCGGGCUGACAAGUCUGGGGUGAAAUCCCGCGGCUCAACCGUGGAACUGCCUUAGAUACUGUCGGCCUCGAGGAAGGUAGGGGCAUGCGGAACUGUAGGUGGAGCGGUGAAAUGCGUUGAUAUCUACAGGAACUCCGGUGGCGAAAGCGGCGUGCUGGACCUUUUCUGACGCUGAGGCGCGAAAGCUAGGGGAGCAAACGGG
rnacentral:rRNA from 1 species